GCCAGGUUUGGGCAGUGGACCUGAACUGCAUCCUGAGAAAGGAGAUGAGGCAGAAAAGGAAGAGUGCAUGGUGGGACACAGCCGUCUUUAGAAGGUUGGGGAAGCACCCAAGAGCUGUUGAAUGCUGCUUAUAAGCAACCAGGAAGUACCCAGAAAAAAAACUGCAAGUGGAGGAUAAGUGCAGACCCCCUUACUGUUUGGAGUGAAAUGAAUAAAUAAAAAAUUGGGGGGGGGGUGUUAGAUUUUUUUAAGAAAAUUCCCUUUCAGUCAAGGCUGAAGGACUGUUUGAACUCCCUCUCCACUUCUGAUUUUUUACAAUGUCCCCAGAAUUUACCAGAUGUCUUUGAUGUCUCAGGUACUUGCAUUUUGAACAAAUAGUCAACUUACCAUUUGUCUGCAGUGAUCUUGCCAGCAUUUAUUUACCUUCUUUAAAAAUAAAAGACUGUCCAGAGAAUCUGUGCAGCACCUGCUAAGGAAAACUAGUUCAUCAACACCUUUUUGAGUCCAGAUACUAGUGAUUAUCUUUAUUCAGUACAUUUUUGUACAGCAAGUUAUUCAGUAAAGAUGCUCUCUGGACACAAAUGAAAUUGUGCUGGAAGUUAGAGAUCAGAGUUCAGCUGCUAAAAAGUGCUGGACCACCAGAGGGCUGGGAACUCUUUCAAAGGCAUGACUCAGUUUUUGAGUGAAUACCUCACGUUGCUCUCCUGAGCUUCCAUCUGCACUACAUAACUUUGACAGGUUAAAGAAGGAGUCCCCCUUAUAUCAAACAACUCUCCUUCCCAUUGAGGAGAGGUGAGAGGAAGUGUCUAAAAAUCAAUUUUGUCCAUUAAACUGGUUUACAUCAGACAUAGUUCAAACAGCUGUAUUCUUUUAAAAAUCUUUCAAAGGCUUAAAUAAUCCUCACUAAACCCACACAGGGUUCACCUAAAAUCCCAGAUCUUCAUGAAUUUACUGUGGAGGCUACUUCACACAACAGCAGACUCUAGUGGUGAUUCAAGCUUUCUGGAGUUCCAUUAAACCAUUUAUGAAGAAAUCCAAAUGUGGCUACUCUUCCCUUCAAAUACAAUAGCAACUCACGUCUCCCUAAGCCAUCAGUGUUGGCUGGUCAGGGAAGGUGCAUGGAUCACAGGACUGUUCAGAAAGCUAUAAGCAGGGACUAUCUUUCCCAACCAGCAGAUUACCAUUGACGAUGUUGAAAUACCAUAGUGAUUCUGGGGGACACAGUUUAAUCCUUGCUCAUGAAGCUGUACACUGGCCACCUUGACAGCACCAAGGUAAGAUUCAACUACCGGCUCAGCAGGUCCUGAAUGACAGUUGAAUGUGCUUUUGGUAGACUGAAGGGACACCAGCAUCCCUUCACUCACCAGAUUGGA